UACGUAGGGGGCAAGCGCUAUCCGGAUUUACUGGGUGUAAAGGGAGCGUAGACGGUUAUGCAAGCCAGGAGUGAAAGCCCGGGGCCCAACCCCGGGACUGCUCUUGGAACUGCGUGGCUGGAGUGCAGGAGGGGCAGGCGGAAUUCCUGGUGUAGCGGUGAAAUGCGUAGAUAUCAGGAGGAACACCGGUGGCGAAGGCGGCCUGCUGGACUGCAACUGACGUUGAGGCCCGAAAGCGUGGGGAGCAAACAGG
rnacentral:rRNA from 1 species